rnacentral:misc_RNA from 1 species
AUUCUCACUUUGGUAUUCACGAAGUAAGUGCGUCGCCCCUGCGUGCAAAUAUCAUCUCUUGGAACUUCAAAUGGCUGAUUUGUUAAAUUCCUUAUUAUCUGUUUUUCUUUUUGGAUAUUAGUUCAAAUUGUGAUUAGCUUUUAUGGGAGCAUGCAUUUGUAAAAUGGUAAUACACUCAUGAUACAAGUACUUGUAGGUUUGUGAUAGUAAGACUAGCGUCCAUUUGUCCCUCAAUUAGUACCUCACAGAAGCCACUGGAAAUUGAUGAUUCUUUCUCUAACUCACAAUGAUAACCACUUUUUAAACGAUAAUUGGGUUUACCAAUGAAUACCUUGCUUCAUUACCAUGUAUCUCCAUAAAUUUAUUGUCUCAUCUUCAUGCAUCUGUAUUAGUUCAAUAUUUUUUGCUAAGGACAACUUUUCUUGCAGUAUUUCUGUUGUAUUUAGAUGACUUUGUAAACUGUGAAAUAUGGAAUUCUUGAAUAUUCAUGGAAUUUAUUUGUGUUAUGUGAUGUAUUUUUCCCUUGUUACUUAAAAUUGG